rnacentral:lncRNA from 10 species
AAAUGUUUCACAGGACACAAACAUGUUGACACUGAAGAAAGACAACAUCUUGACUGACAGCACAGUGGACGGUUGCAUCUGCUCCCAGAAUUGAAACCACUUUGACAACCUUUGUCCAAAGAAAUGGAAGAGGAGAGAAGAUGUCUGAAACUCUGAAACUGAAGAGGAACAGUGAAAGGAAAC